GGGUUUAGGGUUUUAAGAUUUAGUGUUUUUGAUUUAGAGUAUGAAUUAUCCAAGGGUUUGGAGUUUACCCAAGGGUUUAUAGGAUUUAUGAUUUAGGGUUUAGGGAUUAGGAUUUAGGGUUUAGUGUUUUGCUGAAGACGAUAAAAAUAUUAUUUUUUUUUAAAUUUGUUUUUCUCUAACUACUAUUUUUUCUAAUUUUUUUAACCUUUUUAUUUUAAAAACAUAAUAUAUCUUGAUAAUAUUUUGUUUCUUUUUCUAAAAGAUAUCGAAUUUGAAAUAAUAAAAUCUUAUUGGUUGGUGGACCUAGAGGUUCACCCUAGGGGGUGGACCCAAGAAUAACUCCAAACAUAUAUAUACAAAAUAUACAAUAGAAAAUGAUGAAGAAUUUUUAAUUUUUGGUUAACCAUCCGGCAAGAGUUCUACUUCUAUUGAUACACAUAGCUAAACUGAACUCAAACACAACUAACAGGAGAGUGCUAGUUGAAAUAUUCAAGUAACAUUCGUUUGUAAUCGAGAAAAUUAUUUUGAUUUUAUCAAGUAAAUCUCGAACUGUGAUAUUGUG
rnacentral:lncRNA from 1 species